UGCUAAGAAAAUUUAUGCUCAGGAGAAGAUUACAACAAAGCAAAUUAAGCUGGGGUUUAUCGGUGGACUUGUUUCGAGGGAAAAAUCAGUUACAUUCGAAAAAAUUCUAUUUCGUGCUACUGGGGGAAACGUUUUUCUCAGACAGUCAAACAGGCUGUGGUUGAACAUUCUGUUCUUGAUCUUUUGUCAGGGGAGAAGGUUUCAGGAAGACUUGCAGAAUUGAAGACUCCAUGCAGGAUUGCUUCACCGGAGCACUCUAUUGCAGACAAUUGGAUAUCACUAUGAGCAGUGGAGCCUUCAGUUUUGUUUCAUUUUAGAUGAAGUAUUUCAUUGUUUUUCAUGUUUUCCUUUUCAGCUUUAUUUCUAAGCUUCUGCAAUUAAUCUUCAUUCCAAUGCUAACAUUUCCUUUCUUGCAUUUUAACUUAUUGAUGAAGAAGGAAAUAUGCAUCUAUCACACUCUAAAUAUGCUAAGUAUGAAUGCGACAAAGAAAUGUCCUAUUUUUGCAAUAAACCUGAUUCACAUAGUAUUGCAGCAGUUCUCAAGUUGAGGCGAUAUUUCAGGUUUUAGGGACAAAGGAAUCACAGCCUGCCUAUUUUUGCACAAACAAUUCACUUAUUCUUUUCAAGAAAUAGUAGAUGCCUAUGGGUGCUUUAUUUAGCCCUCAGCAUGAGAAUUUCAAAUUUCAUUCUCCUCUCAUUGAAAAAAAUCCCCAUCAGGUAAUUUUGAUUUGACUUGCUCUUUCAAUCAUAAAGAAUCAUGCCUAAAGAUUCAAUAGUUUUAAUCCAAUGUGAUGGCGCAUGUUAUACGGGUCCUCUUGGUCGCUCUAACUUUACUCGUUUGUUUAUUUGUUUUGUUAUAGCUGAGAACAAAUAUAGAAAGUGAAAUCACUACAAUAUUAGCUUCUGUCAUGCUUGGUGGCUUGUUAGCAGCAA